CCUUCCAAGUAUUCUUAGUCGGUUUUAGUUCAGAAAGGCUAUGCUUGAAAUGGGACAAAGGAACACAGAAAAUUAAAUUUCAUUAUUGUCAUUUAUUGGUUAAUACUGCUCAUCUUGGAUGCAGAUGAUGCAAAGAGUGUACUCUCCCUCGCAAGAGUGAUAGAUUCCCUUGCGAAUUGAGAGGGACUAGAUAUGUUGAUCUGCAAAAGUAUUUGAGCGAGCAUUUUAAAAUGACCAUUUUUGCUGUCUAGCAAGGUUGUACAGGCAGAUGGAAUCAACAAAUUAUAUUUCUCAUGUAUUAUUUGCACAAUGUUUGGGUUCUUAUAAUGGAGGAAAAUAUUUCUCAAUAGAAACAUUUUGCAGUAAUACAAAUAUUACAUAUUUCAUAAAAUAUAAACUAUUGCAAUGAGAGAAGUUUUCAAUCA